rnacentral:lncRNA from 1 species
ACAGCCCUUGAAAUCCAGCUACCGUAUUUCAUCUCUUCAAAGAUGCACAUAUUUUUCACAAUUUAAUACCCCUGAAAUUGGUAUGGAUCAUAAAUUGAUGCCAAAUCAUAGUUUAAUUGGCUUUUUCUCUUUUCCGAGGGGUACAUAAAAUACUGCUGAGUCUUGCAAUCAUUGGCUUCUUAGAGUGAUUGAAUACAGUAAUGAAUUUUGCCUAGAUAAAAAUGGUUAGGAGUUACUUAGGUCUAAAUUUGGUAGGCAUUAAUGGAAGUGAAAGGCUGUACACCUAAGAGGCUAGAAACACAUGACUCGAACUCUGUCAUCAAGUUGUUUGUAUUUCGUGGCUAGCUCAUAUGGCUGGAUGAGCCACAGACACUAAGCAUGCAUAUUCUUGGGUGAUUGGAGGCAUAACAUUUUCCUAUUUUGGGAAAAUUACCUAGUAAUGUAUCGUGUGUCUAAAAAGAUAGUCCCAAUGAGGUUAAGGGUGAGUGCAGCGUUUGGGAAAGAAGCAAGAAGUCAAAUAAAAACCAAGAAAGUACCGAGUUCUUUCAUUCGGGAAUAUUGCUGAAGUGACUUGUCUGAAAUUAGGCAGGAAGUUUGAUAGAGGAGAACUUGAUUUGCUGAUUUUUGUUGUAAUAUGAUUUAAUAUAGGGUAGAAAGGACAAGCUUUAACCUAACCUUAGCACACGUUUAGGGGGAAAUGGUAAGGCAUGUUUGGCUUUUUGAUUUAACAGUUGGCUCUGGACAAUAAAAUUAUUUCAUCAAAACACUUACUACCAAACACUGCUGUAUUCUAUUAAUAAAAUAUUUGCCCUUCUUUGCCAAAUGCAGCUUUCUGCACAAAAGAUUUCUCAGUGACUAUCAGUGGGCUAUAUAUAUUUGUCAGUCUUGCUUCCUAGAGAAGUACUAAAAGGGAAAUGUAGACUGUUGUUGGAAUAACGUGUCAGAUGGAGAGUCAGGAUACAGCCUAAAUCUGGGAUUGAGGUAUAUGCAACCUCUAGUGGCUUUCAAAAGAUUCGCUCUAAUCCACUGUAAAAACUGUAAAAUGUCAAAAGCCACCAUACAGAUGCAUAAAUACAACUAACAGAAAUUUUAUGUCCAAAAUAAAACUCAUGCUUA